rnacentral:rRNA from 1 species
CCUACGGGUGGCUGCAGUAGGGAAUCUUCCGCAAUGGACGAAAGUCUGACGGAGCAACGCCGCGUGAGUGAUGAAGGCCUUCGGGUCGUAAAACUCUGUUGUCAGGGAAGAACAAGUAUCGGAGUAACUGCCGGUACCUUGACGGUACCUGACCAGAAAGCCACGGCUAACUACGUGCCAGCAGCCGCGGUAAUACGUAGGUGGCAAGCGUUGUCCGGAAUUAUUGGGCGUAAAGCGCGCGCAGGCGGUCCCUUAAGUCUGAUGUGAAAGCCCACGGCUCAACCGUGGAGGGUCAUUGGAAACUGGGGGACUUGAGUGCAGAAGAGGAGAGUGGAAUUCCACGUGUAGCGGUGAAAUGCGUAGAGAUGUGGAGGAACACCAGUGGCGAAGGCGACUCUCUGGUCUGUAACUGACGCUGAGGCGCGAAAGCGUGGGGAGCG